AUUGAACGCUGGCGGCAGGCCUAACACAUGCAAGUCGAACGAGUGGCGGACGGGUGAGUAAUGUCUGGGAAACUGCCUGAUGGAGGGGGAUAACUACUGGAAACGGUAGAUACUACCGCAUAACAUCAGAUGUGCCGAGAUGGGAUUCGCUAGUGGGUGGGGUAACGGCUCACCAAGGCGACGAUCCCUAGCUGGUCUGAGAGGAUGACGAGCCACACUGGAACGGAGACACGGUCCAGACUCCGAAGGGAGGCAGCAGGGGGGAAUAUUGCACAAUGGGCGCAAGCCUGAUGCAGCCAUGCCGCGUGUAUGAAGAAGGCCUUCGGGUGGUAAAGUACUUUCAGCGGGGAGGCGUUACCCGCAGAAGAAGCACCGGCUAACUCCGUGCCAGCAGCCGCGGUAAUAC
rnacentral:rRNA from 1 species